rnacentral:rRNA from 1 species
AACGAACGCUGGCGGCAUGCCUAACACAUGCAAGUCGAACGAGACCUUCGGGUCUAGUGGCGCACGGGUGCGUAACGCGUGGGAACCUGCCCUUAGGUUCGGAAUAACUCCCCGAAAGGGGUGCUAAUACCGGAUAAUGUCUUCGGACCAAAGAUUUAUCGCCUUUGGAUGGGCCCGCGUUGGAUUAGCUAGUUGGUAGGGUAAAAGCCUACCAAGGCGACGAUCCAUAGCUGGUCUGAGAGGAUGAUCAGCCACACUGGGACUGAGACACGGCCCAGACUCCUACGGGGGGCAGCAGUGGGGAAAAUUGGAAAAGGGGCGAAAGCCUGAUCCAGCAAUCCCGGGGGAGUGAUGAAGGCUUUAGGGUUGAAAAGCUCUUUUCCCCGGGAUGAAAAUGACAGUACCGGGAGAAAAAGCCCCGGAUAACCCCGG